rnacentral:lncRNA from 1 species
GAUGGAGUCUUGCUCUGUCGCCCAGGCUGGAAUGCAGUGGCGUGAUCUUGGCUCACUGCAACCUCCACCUCCCAGUUUCAAGUGAUUCUCCUGCCUCAGCCUCCUUAGUAGCUGGGAUUACAGGCGCAUGCCACCAUGCCCGGCUAAUUUUUGUAUUUUUAGUAGAGACGGGGUUUCACAGUGUUGGUCAGGCUGAUCUCAAACUCCUGACCUCGUGAUCUGCCCACCUCGGCCUCCCAAAGUGCUGGGUUUACAGACAUGAGCCACCAUGCCCAGCCUCAGCUCUCUUUUCUAACAUUCCUUCCUCAGUCAAGGGAAUGCUCCCCUCUACUCCCACACUGAGGCCACCUCUUCAUCUCCAUGUCUGCAGCACCACGCAGAGGGAUGAAGUAUCCAACAGCUUCUAAAGCUAUCUAAGUGGGGGCGGGUCCUCACCAAGUCCCCUAUCACACCAAUUCAUUCAACAAACAUCUCUUGAGCUCCUACUGAAUGCCAGGUACCAUCCUGCAUGCUAGGGGAACCGUAUGGAGUAAAUCACUUAAUAUCAAGACCCUACUAUAUGCCAGGCAGCAUCCUGGGUACCGAGUAUGGAGCUACAAACAAAACAAACAUCCUUGCCCUUGUGGGGCUGACACUCCACUGGGGCUGAGACAGUGAGCAAUAAGCAGAAGUAAGUGAUGGAAGAUGUUAUAAGAAGCUGAGAACCAUGGGGGAAAGGGGCAGUAUUAAUAGGAUGGCCACAGAAAGCCUUAGAGAGAAGGUGACAUUAAGCAACGGUAUUAAGGAAGUAAGGGAUGGUCAUGCAGCUAUCUGGGGAAAGCGGUCUAGACAGGGGAAAUGAAGUGCAAAGGCCCUGUGGUAGCACUGUUGCUAGCAUGUGUGAGGAACAGCCGGGAGGCUGGUGUGGCUGCAGGGGAGUAAGUGAGGGAGAAGGUGGUAGGAGGUCAGGUCAGGGAGAUCCUGUAGUGCUGUAAGGUCAGUCCACUGGAACUACUAUGGCUUUUGUUCUGACUGAAGUGGAAAUCAUGAGAAGCCUCCAUAUAGCCACUGCUAAAGACUGCCAGUUGACAACUCCCCACUUGCCAUACACCCCCCACCAUGUGCACACAGAACCACUCUAAAUACAUUUGUUCCUCUGGUGCUUUGGUCAAUCUAGCUGAUUUCCAUUGUUGGGAACACAGAUUUUCCCAUUAGAUGCCCAGCAAGGCUUCCUUUUUUUUUUUUUUUUUUUUGGAGACAGGGUCUCACUCUGUCUCCCAGGCUGAUUGUGCAGGGACACAAUCAUGGCUCACUGCAGCCUUGAUCUCCUGGGCUCAAGCAAUCUUCCUGCCUACUGAGUAGCUGGGACUACAGGUGUGU